rnacentral:rRNA from 1 species
UACAGAGGGGGCAAGCGUUGUUCGGAAUUACUGGGCGUAAAGGGCGCGUAGGUGGCCUGUUAAGUCGAACGUGAAAUCCCUGGGCUCAACCGAGGAACUGCGUCCGAUACUGGCAGGCUUGAAUCCGGGAGAGGGAUGCGGAAUUCCAGGUGUAGCGGUGAAAUGCGUAGAUAUCUGGAGGAACACCGGUGGCGAAGGCGGCAUCCUGGACCGGCAUUGACACUGAGGCGCGAAGGCGAGGGGAGCAAACGGG